UAAUAGGUCUGGCCUGCCCAGUGAUAAAAUUUAACGGCCGCGGUAUAUUGACCGUGCAAAGGUAGCAUAAUCAUUAGUCUUUUAAUAGAAGGCUGGAAUGAAAGGUUUAACGAGAAAUUAACUGUCUCAAUUACAAACUUGAAUUUAUCUUUUGAGUCAAAAGACUUAAAUAUAAUUGGGGGACGAGAAGACCCUAUAGAGCUUAACAAUUUUUUUUUCUAUAUUUAUUUAGUUAAAUUAUUUAUAUAUAUUGGAAAAAUUGUUUUGUUGGGGUGACAAUAAAUAUAUAUUUAACUUUUAUCAUAACAUAAACAUUAAUUUAUGAUUUUUGGAUCCAAAAAUUUUGAUCAAUAGAUUAAGUUACCUUAGGGAUAACAGCGUAAUCUUCCCUCAGAGUUCAUAUUUACGGGAAGGCUUGCGACCUCG
rnacentral:rRNA from 1 species